AUUGAACGCUGGCGGCAUGCUUUACACAUGCAAGUCGAACGGUAACAGGCCGCCAGGUGCUGACGAGUGGCGCACGGGUGCGUAAUGCAUCGGAACGUGCCCGGUCGUGGGGGAUAACUACUCGAAAGAGUAGCUAAUACCGCAUACGAUCUAUGGAUGAAAGCGGGGGACCGUAAGGCCUCGCGCGAUUGGAGCGGCCGAUGUCAGAUUAGGUAGUUGGUGGGGUAAAGGCUCACCAAGCCAACGAUCUGUAGCUGGUCUGAGAGGACGACCAGCCACACUGGGACUGAGACACGGCCCAGACUCCUACGGGAGGCAGCAGUGGGGAAUUUUGGACAAUGGGCGCAAGCCUGAUCCAGCAAUGCCGCGUGCAGGAAGAAGGCCUUCGGGUUGUAAACUGCUUUUGUACGGAACGAAACGGCUCUGGUUAAUACCCGGGGCUAAUGACGGUACCGUAAGAAUAAGCACCGGCUAACUACGUG
rnacentral:rRNA from 1 species